ensembl:lncRNA
CAGCACCCCGGUGCCGGGAUGGCUUGCCUCGAACCCCAGGUGCCACCAGGCUUCCAGGAAUGGGGACUGUGCCCGAGAAAACCCCGCUGAACAGAAAUGCGUCGCUGGAAUGAGAAAGAGUACCCAGCCUGUUCUACACCUCUCUCAGGGACUGUCCUGCUCCAUUGGGCUCUAUCGCUCCUGCGCGGAGCUCGCUUCUUCCCUCUUCCUCUCCUUCCUUCCUUCCCGCCUCCUUUCCUCUUUCUGCAAGCACAAUCCCAGUGCCGGCACGAUGCCUGCAGAGGGAGAAGAGCUGUUCCGGUAGUAUUUGUAGAAUGCGGGGACACGUGCAUGCAGGAAGUGGGUGUUACGUUGUGUUAUGUUUGCUGGGCUCCGAGCUGAGCACCGGGAGCACAGAGGCAGAGAGACUCUGGCCUGCCCGCAAAGCCUGCCCAGCCUGCCGGGUCAGAGGAAGCCCCGGCUGUGGAGGAAGACGGACGCGUCAGCUCCCCAGCACCUCCUGGCAUCAGGGCUCCAGGAGCAGGGAAGACGGGCCGCUGGAAGGGGGAGGAACGGCCACCAGGUGGACAGUGAGCGGGGCUGUCACAUGUGUCUGGGGCAAGUGGUAAGCAUGAGGUUCCACGGGGCCGCGCGUGGUGAGGGAUAGGGGUGGGGGCUGGGUCAGACAAGAGUCUGAACAGAAAGCUUCUGGGGCCUUAAACUGAGAGCACUUCAUCUAAGAGCUCUGGACCUAGGGUUUGGGUCUGUUUUAGAACGAGAGCUCUGUUGGCUGUAAGCACUACCUGGGGGAGGGGGUGCAGAGACUUGCCAAGGGAACCUGUAUUAUUGAGGCAAAAGGUUGUGGGUCCCUGGGAGUGGGGCUGUGUUGUUCAUUCCAAUGUCCCUGGGACCUUCCCUGUGCUGCUCCUACCAAAAAAGGAUGGCCGAGGGAAUGAAUGAACGAAUGAACGAAUGAAUGAAAUUCACGACCUCUCCUGGCCUCGGUUUCCUCCUCUGUAUCUUGGGAUCAACGAUAACAGCUCUUGUCUUGCAGGACUGCUGUGAGAAGGUGAGGACGGCUGGCACGGUGCUUCACAAACAAGAGGGCUGCAGGCGGAGAGGAGGAGGGGAGGGUCAUCUUGAACCCCCCACGGUGCCAAGCCACACCACUCACCGCUGACCACACUGAACAGCCUGCGGGUGCCCAUAGAGCCGCCCCAGAUUCUCAGAAGAGGGGCCAAGGAAACACCUGGAGAGGCCCAGCGGGUCCUGCCGAAGAUCGCGAUGGGAGAGCGAUGAGGAUAAACGGCUGUCUGUCUCUGGUAACGCAAUUAGGAGCUAAAAUAUUAAACACUUUACGACAGGACAUAUAUCUCCGGCAUAACAAGCUGCCUCUUGCAAAGCAGGCAUUGUCUGGGUGGGAGGCAGGCAGACCCAUAUCUCAGACCCAGCAGCUUCCGCUGAGGGCAACAGAGUCACGUGCCGUCCUCAUCUGGGGACUCUGACUUCACCGCCAACACCACCAUCAUCAUCAUCAUUUGCAGCUUGCAGUUGCAAGUUCCUGAGUGACUACUGUGUUCCAGGAGCACUGUCGGGGACCUGUGCAUAUGCUGAGCCACUUUUUUUUCA